rnacentral:rRNA from 1 species
GAUGAACGCUGGCGGCGUGCCUAAUACAUGCAAGUCGAGCGAACAGACGAGGAGCUUGCUCCUCUGACGUUAGCGGCGGACGGGUGAGUAACACGUGAUAACCUACCUAUAAGACUGGGACAACUUCGGGAAACCGGAGCUAAUACCGGAUAAUAUAUUGAACCGCAUGGUUCAAUAGUGAAAGACGGUUUUGCUGUCACUUAUAGAUGGAUCCGCGCCGCAUUAGCUAGUUGGUAAGGUAACGGCUUACCAAGGCAACGAUGCGUAGCCGACCUGAGAGGGUGAUCGGCCACACUGGAACUGAGACACGGUCCAGACUCCUACGGGAGGCAGCAGUAGGGAAUCUUCCGCAAUGGGCGAAAGCCUGACGGAGCAACGCCGCGUGAGUGAUGAAGGUCUUCGGAUCGUAAAACUCUGUUAUUAGGGAAGAACAAAUGUGUAAGUAACUAUGCACGUCUUGACGGUACCUAAUCAGAAAGCCACGGCUAACUACGUG